AUGGCAGAUGUGCAAGAGGAAAAUCCUGAGCUGGGAGAACUGUGGUUUGUGAGGUGCUAUGUGAAUGGUCUAAGAGAGGGCAUUAAAUUUCAACUUAGGCCUUUCAGACCUAAAACCCUAACAGAUGCUUACUGUAUGGCAAAGGACAUAGAGCCUAAUCAUCCACACAUAGCAACUACCAGUAAGAAACAAGUCACUCCUUUCAACAAUUUCUAUCAGAAAUCCACUUGGAUUCCUCCAGCAAAACAGAGUAUCACUGUAGCUCAACCACAACAACAGCAGCAACUUCCUACUAGACUAGCUGAAAUGCCUGUAAACACUGGUUAG
rnacentral:rRNA from 1 species